rnacentral:misc_RNA from 1 species
UGAGACCGUCUCCAGUGCCGCGGACCUGGAUACAGACGAUAUAAUGAAGUACAUUCAGAACGCAGAGGAGACUCAAGAUGAUGUAGAUUUGUUUGCCUGACAAGACUUUAGGCACUCUGAUGUAAAUGUCUUUUUAAAAUGAAUCUGUUUUAUUUUACACAAGUGCCAUCAAGUAGUAUUUUUUAUGUCAAUAGGCUGACAAUCGGUUAUGAGGGAGCCUUCUUUUAUUUAUUGUUUAAGUUAAGUAAGAUAACCUCAUGGGUUUAUUUCAUUAAUAGGAAAUGUUUAAAAUUGUGAUGAAAUGUCAAAUUUAUUUGAUUAUAACAUACAUGAAAUAAAUAGGCAUUCAAAUUACAAUUAUGGAAGACCAACCACACUUGCAGAUGAAUCACAAAACUACACAACAUUUACACAACUCAUGAGGCAAUUGUUAAGUAAUUAUUCGGGACACUGAUUUUUUUAAAAAUAUUAAAAAAUAAAUUAAUCUGAAAAAAUCUAAUUAUAAAGUGAAAAUGCAUGAAUUCUUCAAAAUCUUCUCCUCUGCUACUGAAUAUUGGGCAGAAGAAAGCCUCUUUCAAAAUUGUGAAUUUCAUGGGUUCUGGUGUUAGGAUGGUGCUCUGAGUGAAUGCAGUAAUUCUUUGAAAAUCUUAUCCUGUGCUCCUUUGUAUAAAUCCGAUGAAUUAAGUACGUAGUUAUGACGAGGAAGACUGCCUUUUGCAAUGUUACGAAUUUUAUGGCCCUUGGUCAAUGGUUCUGGUGUUAGGACAUGGUUCUAAUGAUUAUAUAGGGAAGGGUGGUGUAAUUUCGACUGAUUGAUUUUUUGUAAUUAAGAUUUGUUCAAUUGUGUCACUGUAUGUUAUGCAACAUUUUAAAAUAUUUUUUUCUUCAGAAUUUAGAAAGUGUGUUGGAUUAAACAAUUUCAAAAUAUC